UACGAAGGGGGCUAGCGUUGCUCGGAAUCACUGGGCGUAAAGCGCACGUAGGCGGACUCUUAAGUCGGUGGUGAAAUCCUGGAGCUCAACUCCAGAAUUGCCUUCGAUACUGGGAGUCUCGAGUUCGGGAGAGGUGAGUGGAACUGCGAGUGUAGAGGUGAAAUUCGUAGAUAUUCGGAAGAACACCAGUGGCGAAGGCGACUCACUGGACAUGUAUUGACGCUGAGGUGCGAAAGCGUGGGGAGCAAACAGG
rnacentral:rRNA from 1 species